rnacentral:tRNA from 1 species
GCGGGCGUAAUUCAGUGGCCAGAAUGUUUGCCUUCCAAGCAGAACGUCGGGAGUUCGACUCUCCCCGCCCGCCCCA